CUGGUCCACAUGCGUGGUGAUGCAGGCCACCAUCAGCGCCGUCUCCCCCUUCUCGUUGCUCUCAUUGAUGUAGGCCCCCCCCUCCAGCAGCAGCCGGGUCAGCCGCAGCCGGCCCAGCCACACUGCCUUCAGGAGGGAGUUCCCCCCGGUCUGCAGCUCCGUCGCCUCAUCCAUGGCAUGCAGGGCUCACGGCAGCUGGGGAGGAAUGGGAUGGAGAGGUGUGCUGGUUGCCAGCCCUGCAAGCACCAAUCAAUGCCGAUUGCUGAACAGCUUCACCUGGAUCCCCACACCCCCUGCUAUGGGCUGGGAGCCCUAUUUAAAGGCAGGCCCUGAGCUUGUGCUCAGCUCUGUGGGAUUAUCUUUGUUUGUUGGACUUGUGGAUAGAGUUUGCUGUUCUGCAUUCUCCUGGUGAUCUCUCUUGUGUGACCCAUAGCUGUUAGCAGCCUACUCCUGCCCUACAGCAGGGCAAGGCUCCUCC